AAGCGUUAUCCGGAUUCAUUGCGUUUUAAAGGGUGCGUAGGCGGAUUAGAUAGUCAAAGGUGAAAGCCUGCAGCUUAACUGUAGAAGUGCCUUUGAUACUGCUAAUCUUGAGUACAGUUGAGGCGAGUGGAAUGUGUAGUGUAGCGGUGAAAUGCAUAGAUACUACACAGAACACCAAUUGCGAAGGCAGCUCGCUAAGCUGUUACUGACGCUCAGGCACGAAAGCGUGGGGAGCGAACAGGAUUAGAUACCCUGGUAGUCCACGCUGUAAACUAUGAUCACUAGCUGUUGGCGAUAAAUUGUCAGUGGCUCAGCGAAAGCGUUAAGUGAUCCACCUGGGGAGUACGAUCGCAAGGUUGAAACUCAAAGGAAUUGACGGGGGCCCGCACAAGCGGUGGAACAUGUGGUUUAAUUCGAUGAUACGCGAGGAACCUUACCUGGGCUUAAAUGUAGCGCGACGUCUCGAGAAAUCGGGAUUCCCUUCGGGGCGAACUACAAGGUGCUGCAUGGUUGUCGUCAGCUCGUGCCGUGAGGUAUCGGGUUAAGUCCCAUAACGAGCGCAACCCUUAUUGUUAGUUGCCAGCGGAUAAUGCCGGGGACUCUAACAAAACUGCCCGUGUAAACGGGAGGAAGGUGGGGAUGACGUCAAAUCAGCACGGCCCUUAUGUCCAGGGCUACACACGUGUUACAAUGGCUGGAACAAAGGGCAGCUACCACGCAAGUGGAUGCUAAUCUCUAAAUCCAGUCCCAGUUCGGAUCGAAGUCUGCAAUUCGACUUCGUGAAGAUGGAAUCGCUAGUAAUCGCGCAUCAGCAAUGGCGCGGUGAAUAUGUUCCCGGGCCUUGUACACACUGCCCGUCAAGCCAUGGAAGUUAGUAGUACCUGAAGUCCGUAACCGAAAGGAGCGGCCUAGGGUAAGACUAAUGAACNGGGGCUAAGUCGUACCA
rnacentral:rRNA from 1 species